AAAAGCACCUAAAGUAGCCGCGAAGCUUUGAAAAGCACGGUAUAUUAGUUCUGCGCAAUAAAAUUAGAGUGCAAAUGCUAUCUCUCGACUGAGGUGUCAAUAUUCAUUUUAAUUUGUACAAUUAAGAAGGAAAUAAUAAUUUACCAAUUUUGUUAUCCCCUCUAUGGUCAACCGGUGUCGUAUUGCUACUAUCUCUGUCACGGUCACGCUCUCUUGGUUGUACAAUGCAUUUUCCACACGUUCGUGGGGGAGCAGAUGGAACGAUGUUACAAGCUCUGCCAUAGGUCAGAUAUUCCAAAAAAUAUACUCACCAGGAUUUCUACAAUGGAUGCAAACUGCAACAGUUUCAUUUCGAAUUCUCUCGAUAGUGAGAGUCGAAGGAAGACCAGUGGUAUACUUGAAAGAAGAAAUACAACAUUGCACCGCAGGAAAGAGGAAGCCACAUGAUAUCCCAGCUAAUUUUUAGUAACGUAACAGCUAUAGACGAUUAUAAAAAAAAAAAAGUAGAAGGAGAAAAGUAAAAACAAACUUUACUCCAAUAAUAAAUUCCACGAUCAAAGCUAUAUUAUAGGCAAAAAUGAUGAACUAUUCAUAGUUACAGAUGGUGUAGAACAUCAGCAAAAACUAUGAUGAAAAUUUAAAACUGUUCGUUGGGUCGAUCAAGUACCGGCAAAAACGGCGUACAAAAGCGAGUGUAACUACGAUCGCCGAAUCCGAUAUGUUUCUAAUGGGGUUUCAUCAAAUAUUGAUGGGUGUGCACAACACGAAAGAGAAUCGAAGAACGUGAACGCGGCGAUGAAAUAGCGAGGAAAUUACACAGUCCCUCAAUCUGCAGUCGACCAGGCUACGUAUAUUUCCAACGAGAAUAAUGAAACGAUGAAGUCGAAUUAUUGAAAAACACCGGAUGAACAUGUGAUUACUAUGGCUGUUGCCAAACGAAAGCAGCUAUUAUUGGAGAUGAUGAAAAAAUUUCGUAUGGAGAUUAGACAAUUGUAACUUUACAAUUUAGUCGUAGACUGCUUGAUUUGAUGUGUAGGUAUUGCGGGUUAAAAUAACUCGUCCUAAAGCUCGAGCCCAUUCAUUAUAAUUUUAGAUUAUUUUUUACCUUGUACAUUAUAGCUAGCUAAUGCUAAUUAAUUGCUUAUUCGAGGAUACUGAAAGAAAUACUUACGUUUGGAUCGUUAUUCAGCUUUCCAACGUAGACCUUUGAAAACAAACAAAAAAAAAAUAAGAAUAAUUCAUUGAUUAAAUAUGCCUUUUUAUCACAAUGAUAUGUACCAUUAGAAAUGCAAUUAAUCUCCUCGUUGUUUGAACCGGUUUAAACGGUCGAACGAAAGAACAAGACAGUGUGUCUGAUACACACUGUGAUGUUGUGUAUGGCGUUUCGCAAACUGUAUCCACGUGCUGCACCGCACGUAUAUGCCCCAUGUCGCAUUCUACACCACGUUAAUGUAUAUCGAAAAAUUUUUAAUAUAUCCUAAUCUGUCGGAUGUGUAACUUCCAUACGCAAAUUAAUUAGGAGUCGUUGUAAAAGAAAAUAUUUGUUUAAAUGUGGGUCGCUGAGGAGAAAUAUUUAAGUUGAGUGCUACUCGACAUUUAUAUUUAUUGGAAGCACGUUAAGAGCAAGAUAUAAAAAUUGUAUACAAUAUAUGCAUUGGUGUAUUAUUUAUAAAUUGAGAUGCUCUCCGUGCCAAUGAGCUGGAUGAUGUACAAAGGCAUACAAAAUGUACAGGGCGAAUUACUCUGACUAGCUAACGAUAAGCUAUGCCAAGCAAGGGAAUAAAUUCUUGCAUAACUGAAAAACUGGAGCUUUCAUUGUGUUUCUGAAACUUGAACGGAAAAACUUUUUCCGUUUUCGGGAUACAGUCGAUCGUUGGAGAAGGGCGGGUUAGCGAAAAGUCCCCGACACCAAGAGGACGACGAGCGUUGCAAAUAAAAUCUUACAGUUUUUGAAAGAACGAGAUUCGACGAUAUUCGCUCGCGUACGUUCAGCUUUUUACCUCCUCUUCAAAAUUGCUCGGUUGUUUUUUGGUUCAAUUUAAUUUUCUUUUUCAGAGCCACCCCGUAUACAGGUAUAGAUUUAUAUGCGCGCUCUUGGUAGUCGACUAAAUAUCGACUCACCAAACUUGGGAGCAAGUUUUAGUUAUAAGCUUAUCAAACAUCGAUCACAAUGCUCAUUUCCACUAUAAAUAUUUACUGUAAAGACCGAUUUGCCGCUUUAGAUUUGUUAUAGAUUGCACAAACUAUCUUAUUACUACGCAAAUUGAGUGUUAAUUUGAAAAGGAAGAGGAUGUAUAUACGAUUGGGAGAAAUCACGUUGAAUUUUCUGAUGCAAUUUAAACGGAAUUCAGCGUUGUUAUACCUACCUGCCUUGAGAAUAAUUUCGAUUUUUAUGCCCGGGGCAAUCUAUGAGAGCCCGUGAAAAUUCUCAUAGAAGUUUUAGAGCAAUGAGAUGAAAAUUGAUUCUGCAAUAGCCGAUGAAAGAGAUGGAAAAGAAAGUUUUCAGGGAUGAACAUGACGUCCUAAAAGAUUUUUCUAACUUCGCAGAAAGUCGACGACAUGUUGCGUUUUGGUGAGUAGAGCAAGGCAAGCAGCUGAAGCGACAGCGUCAAGCGGCAACAGCAAUUACAAAGUUACCAGCGCAACAAUAGCGAUGCACUUAUUAUUUGUCAAUGGCCAAAUGAUAACAUAUGCGUUUGGGUUAUGGGGCAGACGUUAAUGGUAAAAUCAAAUGAUACGUGCUCAAUUAAAAUUAGGUCUGAGUAUCUAAUACAAAAUCAAAAGACACGGAAGGUUGUUGAGUAGGAUAAUAUUAAAACAUUUCGCG